GGGGGAGACAUGGGGUAGUUAAUGGGUCCUAAAAAACCAGAAAGAAUGAAUAAGACCUAGUAUUUGCUAGCACAACAACGUGACUAUAGUCAAUAAUAAUUUAAUUGUACAUUUAAAAAUAACUCAGAGUAUAAUUGGAUUGUUUGUAACACAAAGGCUAAAUGCUGGAGGGGAUGGAUACCCCAUUCUCUGUGAUGUGAUUAUUAUGCAUUGCAUGCCUGUACCAAAACAUCUCAUGUAUCCCAUACAUAUAUACACCUAUGUACCCACCAAAAUUAAAAAUUAAAAACAAACAGAGUGAGAUACCACCUCACACCCAUUAGCAUGGCUAUAAUCCAAAAGAGAGACAGUAAUAAAAUAUUGAUUAGGAUGUGGAGAAAUCAGGAGGGCUUUGAAUGGCUCUCCACAAUCUGACAACACAUGAUGAAGCAAAGAGGGAACGAUUUCAUUUUUGACGGCUGUCUCUGCUCAGAGGCUGUCUCUGAUGCAGGACUUUAUUCUGGCUGCUCAGGAAAUGGAUGGGACAGGAUGCUAAAUGGUGUUGAGUAGUUCCGAUUUUUUGCCAAGAGGCAAAUGAGAGAGAUGCCUUCCAAAACAGUACAUGAUAUUGCUCGGCUACUUUAAAUAUAAAUAUGGGCCAUGGAGUUAAGUACUGUUAGUUUAUCAUUAAGAAGAAAAAAAUCAGGGCCAGGCACGGUGGCUCACGCCUGUAAUCCCAGCACUUUGGGAGGCUGAGGCAGGCGGAUCACGAGGUCAGGAGUUUCAGACCAGCCUGGCCAACAUGGUGAAGCCCUGUCUCUACUAAAAUACAAAAAAAAUUAGCCAGGUGUGUUGGUGGGCGCUUGUAAUCGCAGCUACUUGGGAGGCUGAGGCAGGAGAAUUGCUUCAACCCGGGAGGCAGAGGUAGCAGUGAGUUGAGAUCGGGUCACUGCACUCCAGCCUGGGCGACAGAGCCAAAAAAAAAAAAAGAAGAAGAAGAAAAACAUCUUUGGGGAUGCUCACAUUAACUGAGUAAAGUUACAUGGUUACUGUCAUGCAAAACACAUAUGAAAUGCAGACACUUCCCGAAGUUGAAUUUUACGCUAUCUCUGCUGAUUUAGCUGUUCAGAAUUUUGGUGGAUUUCUUUUUUUUUUUUUUUUUUUUUUUUGGCUUCUGUAUUUUUAAGGCAAAGAUUCCAUGCCAGAUUAAUGAAUAAUCUUUCUAUGGAGGGACUCAAUCCAAACUGGGUUUACCAGAGUCUAUUUCUUUGAAGGAGCAAUCGUAAAAUGGCUCUAAAUUCAUUUGAAUUGGUCUUGGGUUGUAGUACUAUCAUACUUACUAUAAUCUCUUUGUACUUUAUCAUGGAGACAUACAAACGUUUGCACAAAUGACUCGGUAAGUAUUGUUUAUCAAAUGGCAGAGACUGUUUGUUAUCAAACCACAGAGAGAGAAAGAGCUUUUUUCCCUCCCUUUAGGUAUUAAAAACAAAAGCCCUCUGCUCUCGGUAGCAUUUGUUAAAAAAUAACUCACAUCCUACACAAAAACCUAACACAAAAUGGAUCAUAGACCUGAAUGUAACAGCUAAAAUUAUUAAAAUUAUAAAACCCUUAGAAGAAGAUGUAUGAGUAGAUCUUCAUGAACUUGAUCUAGCAAUGUUUUCUUAGAUAGAACACCAAAUGCAAAAUAAACUGGACUACAUUCAAACUUAAAACUUUUGUGCUACAAACAAUGCCAUCAAGAAAGUAUAAAGACAAUAUACAAAAUGGGAAAAAAACAUUUGAAAUCAUAUAUCUGACAAGAGUUGGUAUCCAGAAUAUUUAAAUAACUCCUGCAAUAUAAUAAUAAAAAGACAUAUAACCUAUUUAUAACUGGGAAAAAAAUCUGAGCCAACAUUUCUCCAAAGAAGAUAUAGACGUGACCAAUAAGCAAGCCCAUGAAGAGAUGCUCCACAUCAUUAGGCAUAAAGGAAAUGCCAGUCAAAACCACAGUGAGAUACCACUUCACACCCAUUAGCAUGGUUGUAAUAAAAAAGAGAGGCAAGAACGGGUAUUGACGAGGAUGUGGAGAAACUGGAACCUUCAUACACUGCUGGUGGAAUGUAAAAUAGGCCACAGCUUUGGAAAACAAUGUGUCAGUUCUUCAAAAGUUAAAUACUUACAGAGUUACCAUAUGCCCCAGCAGUUGCACUCUUAGGAAUGCCAAGAGAAAUUGAAACAUACAUCCACACAAAAGUGUGCACACAAGUGUUCAUAGCAGCAUAAUUUGUAUUAGCUGAAAAAUUGGAAACAACCCAAAUGUCCAUCAACUAAUAAAAAGAAAUGAAAUGUCAGCACAUAUUACAGUUUGGACUGAACUUUGAACACAUGAUGUUAAGUGAAAGAAGUCAGACACAAAAGACCUCAUUAAUGUAUCAUCCCAUUGAUAGGAAAUGUCCAGAAUAGGCAGCUUUAUAGAGAGAGAAAAAAGAAAGAAAGAAAGAAGAAAGGAAGGAAGAAGGAAGGAAGGAAGAAAGAAAGAGAGAGAAAAUAUUACUGAUACCUUUUCUGGUAAGAUCCAUGAACACCUGACCAAAAAA
ensembl:lncRNA